GACGAACGCUGGCGGCGUGCCUAAUACAUGCAAGUAGAACGCACAGUUUAUACCGUAGCUUGCUACACCAUAGACUGUGAGUUGCGAACGGGUGAGUAACGCGUAGGUAACCUGCCUGGUAGCGGGGGAUAACUAUUGGAAACGAUAGCUAAUACCGCAUAAUAUUGAUUAUUGCAUGAUAAUUAAUUGAAAGGUGCAAUUGCACCACUACCAGAUGGACCUGCGUUGUAUUAGCUAGUAGGUGAGGUAACGGCUCACCUAGGCGACGAUACAUAGCCGACCUGAGAGGGUGAUCGGCCACACUGGGACUGAGACACGGCCCAGACUCCUACGGGAGGCAGCAGUAGGGAAUCUUCGGCAAUGGACGAAAGUCUGACCGAGCAACGCCGCGUGAGUGAAGAAGGUUGUCGGAUCGUAAAGCUCGGUUGUAAGAGAAGAACGGGUGUGAGAGUGGAAAGUUCACACUGUGACGGUAGCUUACCAGAAAGGGACGGCUAACUACGUG
rnacentral:rRNA from 1 species